AAGAAGUCUCUUAUGUUCACCAAGACUGAAUUUGUUUGAUCAAAAAUACAACACAAUGUGAAAUAUUAUUGCAGUUUUAAUAAACUAUAUUGCUUGUAAAUUCCAUUAUCAGCAGUCUUACCAUUGAUUUCAUGCGUUCUUGUUUCACGCUCAUGUCUGUUCUUUGUUUUAUUAUUGAUCAAAGAUUCCUGGAAAAAAAAAAAAAAACGUUUUUCACAAAAAAAACGUUUGAAUAUCUAUAAUGUAAUUUAUUCCUGUGAUGCAAAGCUGAAUUUUCUUCAGUGUCACAUGAUCCUUCAUAAAUCUUUCUAAUAUGACAUGAAUGCUGAUGCUCAACAAACAGUUUUACUAUUGUCAAUGUUGAAAAAAAAAUGUGCUGCUUAAUUUUUUUUUUUACAGGAACCCUUGAUCAAUAAUAAAACAAAACAAAACAAAAAACAGACAUGAGCAUGAAACAAGAGCACAUGAAAUCAAUGGUAAGACUGCUGAUAAUGGAAUUUACAAGCAAAAUUAAAUCAUGAUGGUUUAAUUGCUAUAAGUUGAGACCCUGUGCCACCCUAUGACCCUAUUUUAAGUAAUGUCCUCCAUGUCACCCUCUGUGUGUCUGUCUGUGUGUCUUGCUGUCUGUCUCCUCAGGUGAAGUGUGGAGUGAUAGGGCCCAGGACUGCUCUUUCUUUCACCUUCUUGUCUCCAAAGUGCCAGGCGUUUCACUCAGGGUGAGAGAUGUUACUGAGGUGUGUGUUAUUCUUGAUGUCAGCCUCCAGCCGGAGCAGGAGUCAACACAGCUAGUUACAUGCACAGCACCAUCAGCCUGUCAGUCAAGUCAGAGCCCUUCCAUUCUCAAAUCAUUAUGUUACGGCAUUAUCCGUGUGGAGAUAAUAUCCUCUUGGGCAAUCAGUCACUGGGAGUUGAAGAGUUACUGAGAGUUCAGUUCAUCUGUCUUCUCUCAAAUAAAGAGAGACUCCCUGCAAAUAUGUCUAAUCUUCCUUAG
rnacentral:lncRNA from 1 species